rnacentral:rRNA from 1 species
GACGAACGCUGGCGGCGUGCCUAAUACAUGCAAGUAGAACGCACAGUUUAUACCGUAGCUUGCUACACCAUAAACUGUGAGUUGCGAACGGGUGAGUAACGCGUAGGUAACCUGCCUGGUAGCGGGGGAUAACUAUUGGAAACGAUAGCUAAUACCGCAUAAUAUUGAUUAUUGCAUGAUAAUUGAUUGAAAGAUGCUAUUGCAUCACUACCAGAUGGACCUGCGUUGUAUUAGCUAGUAGGUGAGGUAACGGCUCACCUAGGCGACGAUACAUAGCCGACCUGAGAGGGUGAACGGGCACACUGGGACUGAGAAACGGCCCAGAAUCCCAACGGAAGGAGCAGGAGGGAAACUUCGGCAAUAGACGAAAGUCUGAACGAGCAACGCCGCGGGAGAGAAGAAGGUUUUCGGAGCGGAAAGCUCCGUUGUAAGAGAAGAAAGGGUGUGAGAGUGGAAAGUGCACACUGUGACGGUAUCUUACCAGAAAGGGACGGCUAACUACGUG